rnacentral:rRNA from 1 species
CCUGGGGAGUACGGCCGCAAGGUUAAAACUCAAAUGAAUUGACGGGGGCUCGCACAAGCGGUGGAGCAUGUGGUUUAAUUCGAUGAUACGCGAGGAACCUUACCAAGGCUUAAAUGCAUUAUGCUCGAUCUGGAAACAGAUCUUUCUUCGGACAGAAUGCAAGGUGCUGCAUGGCUGUCGUCGGCUCGUGCCGUGAGGUGUCAGGUUAAGUCCUAUAACGAGCGCAACCCCUAUCACUAGUUGCCAGCGUUUAAAGACGGGGACUCUAGUGAGACUGCCACGCAAGUUGCGAGGAGGUGGGGACGACGUCAAGUCAUCACGGCCCUACGUCUUGGCCAACACGUGCUCAUGGCCGUACAGAGGCAGCUCUGGGCACAGAUGCGAUCUCGAAGCGUCUCAGUCGAUGGAGUCUGCACUCGACUCAAGAAGCUGAUCGCUAGUAUCGCAAUCAGCAUGU